rnacentral:rRNA from 1 species
UACGUAGGGUGCAAGCGUUAUCCGGAAUUAUUGGGCGUAAAGAGCUCGUAGGCGGUUUGUCGCGUCUGCUGUGAAAACUGGAGGCUCAACCUCCAGCCUGCAGUGGGUACGGGCAAACUAGAGUGCGGUAGGGGAGAUUGGAAUUCCUGGUGUAGCGGUGAAAUGCGCAGAUAUCAGGAGGAACACCAGUGGCGAAGGCAGGCUCUGG